AUUGCCACAGAUUGACAUCCUUAAUUAUGUAGAAAUCAAGAAGACCUAGCAUUCUAGCUUCGUUUUUUUCUUGGAGCACCAAGCUUGUGAGCUUUUUUGUCGUCCCCUUGAUGAUUUUAGUUCCUCAAGGGAAUUCUUUUAAGGGCUUUCUGAAUCGUUAAUGCAACCUUACUUAGUUUUCUGGCAUGUACCACCUGCUGACGACCAUCUUUGUCAUGUGACUUCGUUAUUCUUCGUUUCCAUUAGCUGAUAGUGUUCGUCCUCUUUUGUCAGUGAAAUUUCCUUUUUUCAGUGUUGUACGUGAAGGAUCUCGGAUGGUAGGGUGACAGAUUUAGCUACUUGAGACAAAUCUUCCGACCUUUAGAAGAAACAUGUCCAUUGGUUCAAAGGCCCGGCGAACCGGGUUCUCUUAGCAUAGUAUUUCUGCAAAUCUUUGUUCUUAUUUUGGGCCUUCAGAUGAUGAAGCUUUCGUAAAUCCCAUCGAUCAUCCCAAAUGGUACCUGUGAUUUUUAUGUAUAGGUUGACCUCCAAGUCUUCUAAACGUUCCUCUUUGAUUUUGGAUGCCACGACGGUGUUAGCUUUCAUUCAUUUGGAUCGCUUCAUUAUUCGUUGAAUAGCAGUCAGAUCAAAAUUUUCCGCUUUAUUUGUACGAUGAUCAGCUUUAAGCGUUGACUUGUACCACUUUAUGUACCAUUCCUAAUUCAUGUUCUGGCCUUUGGAGUGCUCUCUCUCUCUCUCUCUCUCUCUCUCUCUCUCUCUCUCUCUCUCUCUCUCUUUGUGAGCCGAUAGGAUGGCAUACAACGGAUGGAAGUCGGCGAGCGCAGAUCCGUGAAGAAGACUUGAGGAACAUGAGUACCCAUCCGUGGCUAAUACAAUUUCCACAAGAAGCAAACCCCAACCGAGCAGAAAAACAAGUUCUAAUCACCAGAAGUAAAGAAGUCAACAAUCUCAGCAUGAUUGCCCCCGCCAGUGAAAGUCCAGGAAUAUGGUGAUCGGCGCCAUCACCGCAUCAGAAGACGGCGUCUAACAAGCAGCAACAACAUAGGGCGGCCAAACUGCACGUCAACGAGUAAUAGCCACGCCGUGAGAUGGGAGAGGUUCUUCACAAUCCAGGAAAGAUUUUGCGACAGAGAGACAAAGAGAGAGAGAGAGAGAGAGAGAGAGAGAGAGAGAGAGAGAGAGAGAGAGAGAGNNNNNNNNNNNNNNNNNNNNGAGAGAGAGAGAGAGAGAGAGAGAGAGAGAGAGAGAGAGAGAAAUCGUUACCAUCCUUCAAGGAAACCUGGGCCACUGUUUUUCUUCGGAGGCUGCUGUACAUACUGCGGUGGCGGGUAACCUCCCCCGGGGUAGCCCGCCGGCGGGUAACCCCCCGGCGGAGGGUACCCCUGGGCGUAGCCCUGCGGGGGAUAACCAGCCGGCGGGUAGGGGUCCUUGGGGUACGCCUCGGCAGGGUAUCCUGGUUUCACGUCAAGAUGAUGGGAGAAGAGAAAACAAGGGCCACCCGUCAGACACGAGGGGUGAAAGCCUGAAGAUGCCAAGCGGAGAUCAGGAGAAGUAGGACCAACCUUGCGGCGGAGGCACCCCGACGGGCGGCUGCUGCUGAUGGUAGUAGCUCAUGGCGCUCUUCGCGGGGGUACAGGGAGAAAGGAGGAAGGAGGCGACGAUCUCUAGACGAAGGCACGCGGAAAGCAGCUUCUAUACGGCUUUCACGGGUGCGGCUUCAAAGGAAGCUUCAUGGAUGCUGCCUGGUCGCUGAUCUUCGUCGCGUCAGAAGCGCGUGCGGUGGAGGUUGGGGGCCGUCAUCAAAUGGGAGAGAAUACGACAGAGACACGGUCUUAGAUCACUCCCAGCCUUCUACGACCGAUGAAAGUAGGAGAUAUGAGACCAGUGGAUCGAAGGCGGAACAAGGUUCUCGAUGUCAACGGUUCGAUAAGAAUGAUAUUAAACAGAUGGUGG
rnacentral:lncRNA from 1 species